rnacentral:rRNA from 1 species
CUCCUUUGACGUUAGCGGCGGACGGGUGAGUAACACGUGGGUAACCUACCUAUAAGACUGGGAUAACUUCGGGAAACCGGAGCUAAUACCGGAUAAUAUUUCGAACCGCAUGGUUCAUAGUGAAAGGUGGUUUUGCUAUCACUUAUAGAUGGACCCGCGCCGUAUUAGCUAGUUGGUAAGGUAACGGCUUACCAAGGCGACGAUACGUAGCCGACCUGAGAGGGUGAUCGGCCACACUGGAACUGAGACACGGUCCAGACUCCUACGGGAGGCAGCAGUC